GCAAUUAUUGCAUCUCAAUCUAGUUAGCUAUCCUAUCCCUUUCUCUUUGAAAAUUUUCGCAAGUUUCUGUGUCUCUUCAAGCCCUUCAACAUCAGGUUGUGAAGAAUGAAGUUUCUAGGAAGUGUUCAUGAAUUUUCCGCAGCUAGAAUCGUCAACCGAAUACUUUGAAUAGCAGGACUUGGAAUGCACACGUCAUUUGUUGACAUUACAUUAUAAAAAUAUAUAUAGCUUUUGGAUUAAUGAACAACUGACUAAUCUUGUAACUCAUCGAAAAAAUGUCUAGAGGAGCAUAUGUUGUUCUAGGUGGUGGCCACGCAGAGGAACUAGGCAUCAUGCAAGACAACUCGGGGACGAUACUUUUGCUCUGCAUGAUUCUUAUGUCUCUCUCACUUAUAUCAAUGGUCAUAUUUGCUUGUGGUGAUGAUGAAGGAUCAAGCAAGAAAAGAUACGGAGGCGGCGGCGGCGGUAUUGUUGGUGAUGGUGGUGCAGCUUGUGGUGGCGGUGGCGGUUGUGGAGGUGGAGGUUGUUAGGAAGAUAUAUACAACUAUGUUUUCAUAAAAUUAAGAAAAGCUCGAAUUUAUGUCCACAAAACCUGUCGUUCUUAUAAUUGUUCUUGUUGAUACUAAUAUUGGUUUGUAAGUUAUGUUAUAUCGAUGGAGCUUCUUAUGUAUAUGAUGGUCAGAUUUUGGCUUUUACUAAUUUU
rnacentral:lncRNA from 1 species